rnacentral:rRNA from 1 species
GACGAACGCUGGCGGCGGGCCUAACACAUGCAAGUCGAACGGAAAGGCCCUGCUUUUGUGCGGUUCCCGAUUGGCGAACGGGUGAGUAACACGUGAGUAACCUGCCCUUGACUUUCGGAUAACUUCAGGAAAGUGGGGCUAAUAUCAGAUAGCAUCUCCUGCUGCAUGGUGGGGGUUGGAAAGUUUCGGCGGUUGGGGAUAGAUGCGCGGGUAACGUGCUUGUUGGUUGGGUAGCGGCUUACCAAGGGUGUGACGGGUAGGCGGCAUGGGAGGGGGACCAGGCACCAUGGGACUGAGAUACGGAGCAGACUGGUACGUGAGGCAACAGUGGGGAGUAUUGCACAGUGGGACGAAGCCUGAGAAAGAAGCGCUGCGUGCGGAAUGACGGCCUUCGGGUAGUGAACAGCUUUAGCCUGUGACGAAGCGUGAGUGACGGUAAUGAGUAAAGAAGCACCGGCUAACUACGUG